rnacentral:rRNA from 1 species
AGUGAACGCUGGCGGUAGGCCUAACACAUGCAAGUCGAACGGCAGCACAGAGGAGCUUGCUCCUUGGGUGGCGAGUGGCGGACGGGUGAGGAAUACAUCGGAAUCUACUCUGUCGUGGGGGAUAACGUAGGGAAACUUACGCUAAUACCGCAUACGACCUACGGGUGAAAGCAGGGGAUCUUCGGACCUUGCGCGAUUGAAUGAGCCGAUGGCGGAUUAGCUAGUUGGCGGGGUAAAGGCCCACCAAGGCGACGAUCCGUAGCUGGUCUGAGAGGAUGAUCAUCCACACUGGAACUGAGACACGGUCCAGACUCCUACGGGAGGCAGCAGUGGGGAAUAUUGGACAAUGGGCGCAAGCCUGAUCCAGCCAUACCGCGUGGGUGAAGAAGGCCUUCGGGUUGUAAAGCCCUUUUGUUGGGAAAGAAAUCCAUCUGGUUAAUACCCGGGUGGGAUGACGGUACCCAGAGAAUAAGCACCGGCUAACUUCGUGCCAGCAGCCGCCGUAA